GAUGAACGCUGACAGAAUGCUUAACACAUGCAAGUCAACUUGAAUUUGGGUUUUUAACUUAGGUUUGGGUGGCGGACGGGUGAGUAACGCGUAAAGAACUUGCCUCACAGCUAGGGACAACAUUUGGAAACGAAUGCUAAUACCUAAUAUUAUGAUAAUAGGGCAUCCUAUAAUUAUGAAAGCUAUAAGCGCUGUGAGAGAGCUUUGCGUCCCAUUAGCUAGUUGGAGAGGUAACGGCUCACCAAGGCGAUGAUGGGUAGCCGGCCUGAGAGGGUGAUCGGCCACAAGGGGACUGAGACACGGCCCUUACUCCUACGGGAGGCAGCAGUGGGGAAUAUUGGACAAUGGACCGAGAGUCUGAUCCAGCAAUUCUGUGUGCACGAUGAAGUUUUUCGGAAUGUAAAGUGCUUUCAGCUGGGAAGAAACAAAUGACGGUACCAACAGAAGAAGUGACGGCUAAAUACGUG
rnacentral:rRNA from 1 species